GUCAAAUGAAAAAGCUCCAUGUGUCUGAUCUGCCCACUGAAGAGCAGGAGCCUCCACCUGAUGUUCUAAUCACAGAGCCAAAUUUCCUACCACCACCAAUUCCUAUUUCCUUGGACCGAAUGCAAAAGUCUGAAGCAACAACUAAACCAGGGUCGAUGAUCAGAUGGUAAGAGUGGAAAUGUCGAUGUUUUGGAUGGAAAGAAGAUGUGCUUACUUCAUUCUUACUAGUGCUCUUGACCCUCAGAGGUUAACAUGUUCUGGUUUGUGCUAUAUUUUGAAGAGAUUAAAACAUUUAAGAAACAC
rnacentral:lncRNA from 1 species